rnacentral:rRNA from 1 species
AUGGAGCGGUGUUUGAGCAGAGGCGCCCAAAUAAGCAGCUCCUCGAAACAGGAGCAACUCCUCGAAGCAAUCCUUUCCGGGCUACAAUCAGAAACAUGCCCGCUUUCAAAUUCAGUCUCCGAGUUGCCAUCGGUACCCGCCAGUUUUAAGAGGAAGACGAUCAACAGGUCCAUCGACAUCAAGUUUCAGAGUGACCGCCAUCAGCAACUCAGGCGAUCUCGAGAUCUCUUCGCCGGCGACCGUCCAUCAAGGCCCUCAGCAGCUAUAACCGAUGAGGAAGAAGAUCAACUGGACCGGCUCAGUAGUUUGCCUGAUGGCGUGUUGCUCGAUAUUGUAGGGCGACUUGACAUCGCAGAUGCUGCUAGAACCAGAAUCCUCGCCAGACGGUGGAAGGAGAUUCCUACUAUGCUCUCCAAAAUUUUAUUAACAGUUGGUCCCUUUGACGAUGUGCGCAAUAGAGGGUUGACCUCUGAUGAUGUAGCUCGGGCCAAUGCCACCGUGCUUGGAGCGAUCAGGAGCAUGCUGGAAAGCAGGACUACAAGUCUAUGCACCAUUAACCUCCUGUGUCUGCAAUUCUUCUUGGCCGAUGGAACUCUCAGUAUUGGAGAAGGUAGUAAAGUGUGGGAUCAUCGAUGUGAGAUGAUAGUGGACGGGGAGCAGAGGAGGCGGUAUGGGUUCAGCGAGGACAAGAAGGAUGCGCACGUGCUGUCGACAGCACCGGCAUCCGAUUUCAAGCACCGCAAUUUGUCCGUGCUCAGGGUCUUUGGGUUUCAGUGCGAGGACAAGAUUGUGAACUGCGUCGAAAGUGUCAUGAAAGCGUCGGCAGCCCUGGAGGACGUAUACAUGUAUGAGAAGCCAACUGGUCCACAACACAAGGUACUCCACAUGUCAUUUGAGAAAAUGGAAGAUGCAGGCCAGGGAAGGUCCGGCGAGGCGAAAGGGUCGGCGCGGAUAAGGUUUAGCGAGCCAGCGGGCGUGGAGAGGCAGGUGCGCGACACAAAUGGCAGCGGUGACAUGGAAAGGUGUCCGGGCGUGAAAAAGCAGAGUAACCAACCAAGGCAGCGUGAUAGGUUCACUGAACAACCCAACAAAUAUACGGAGGGCAACCAUGUGUCGCCACUAACAUGUUUCCUGCUUAAAGGGCAACAGCACCAAGCCAGCCAUCAGCCUACUCGGUCAGCUAUUGCUAUCUUCGCAUGA